AAAGUCGUAACAAGGUCUCCGUUGGUGAACCAGCGGAGGGAUCAUUACAGAGUUGCAAAACUCCCAACCCUUUGUGAACGAACUGAACAGUUGCUUCGGCGGAAGGCCCUUCACUGGGCGGCCCGCCGGAGGCCUACAAACACCUGUAUUUUUGGCAUCUCUGAGUAACUUACCAAUAAGUUAAAACUUUCAACAACGGAUCUCUUGGUUCUG
rnacentral:misc_RNA from 1 species